rnacentral:rRNA from 1 species
GGGGGGGGGGGGGGGGGGGGGGGGGGCGGGGGGGGCGGGGGGGGGGGGGGGGGGGGGGUGGGGGGCGGGGGGGGCGCGCGGGGGGGGAACAGGUGGGUAGCGUGCGGUUGACUUGGGGGUGACUUCAGGGAACUGGGGCGAAUCCGGGAGAGGAGCUCCUGCGGCGUUGUGGUGGUUGGACAGUUUCGGCGGUCGGGGAUGGCCGCGCGGCUGCUCAGCUUGUUGGUGUGGUAGUGGCUUACCAAGUCGUUGACGGGUAGCCGGCCUGAGAGGGUGACCGGCCACAUUGGGACUGAGAUACGGCCCAGACUCCUACGGGAGGCAGCAGUGGGGAAUAUUGCACAAUGGGCGGAAGCCUGAUGCAGCAACGCCGCGUGCGGGAUGACGGCCUUCGGGUUGUAAACCGCUUUCGCCUGUGACGAAGCGUGAGUGACGGUAAUGGGUAAAGAAGCACCGGCUAACUACGUG